AGAGUUUGAUCCUGGCUCAGGACGAACGCUGGCGGCGCGCCUAACACAUGCAAGUCGAGCGAGAACCAGGGCUUCGGCCCUGGGGACAGCGGCGAACGGGUGAGUAACACGUGGAUAACCUGCCCUCGGCACCGGAAUAGCCCGAGGAAACUCGGAUUAAUGCCGGAUAGCCCCACAUCCCUGCGGGGAACGUGGGAAAAGGUAGCUUCGGCCUCUGGCCGGGGAUGGGUCCGCGGUGGAUUAGCUUGUUGGCGGGGUAACGGCCCACCAAGGCGACGAUCCAUAACUGGUCUGAGAAGAUGAUCAGCCACACUGGGACUGAGACACGGCCCAGACUCCUACGGGAGGCAGCAGUGGGGGAAUCUUGCGCAAUGGGCGAAAGCCUGACGCAACGACGCCGCCUGCGGGGAAGAAAGCCCUCCGGGUUGUAAACCGCUUUUUUGAGGGACGAAACCCCUCCGGGUGAAUAGCCCAGAAGGGGGACGGUACCUCCCGAAAAAGCCCCGGCUAACUACCUGGCCAGCAGCCGCGGUAAUACCUAAGGGGGCUAGCGUUGUCCGG
rnacentral:rRNA from 1 species